rnacentral:lncRNA from 1 species
GAGCAUGAAGCACGGUAGAAUUUGAAAAGUCAAUAUACUGGUUCACUGAAUAUGAAGAGCUGACCGAAGGUGAAAUAGUAAAUGCAGCAAUUGGAUACAUGCACAAAGAUAACCAUAUAAAGCGACAGCAAGAGAAUGAAACCGAGCCCCUUCAAGGGAGCAACAGGGCAUUGACCUGCAUAUUUGAAACAUCUAUUCCCAUAUUAAUGUCGAGUAGUCCAU